UUUUAUCAUUACACCUUAAAUAAACACCACAAAAAAAACCAACAAUUCCCCCCUAGUCUCCUCAAUGGCCUCUCCCAAAGCUAUAUAUGGCGUCUGGACCCCCGGGGUAGAAUUUGUCCAAACACCCUGGAGAGGACACAGAAAAGACAGGCACCAGCAACCAACCUCACUCAUCAAUGAGGAGCAGCUGUGCAGAGCCCAAAACAAAGGCCACAUACCAAUCGCCAAAAUGCUCAAUAAAUAUAAUUAAAACUU